UAGAAUUCCACGUGUAGCGGUGAAAUGCGUAGAGAUGUGGAGGAAUACCGGUGGCGAAGGCGGCCUUCUGGACAGAUACUGACGCUGAGAUGCGAAAGCGUGGGGAGCAAACAGGAUUAGAUACCCUGGUAGUCCACGCUGUAAACGAUGUCGAUUUGGAGUUUGUUGCCUAGAGUGAUGGGCUCCGAAGCUAACGCGAUAAAUCGACCGCCUGGGGAGUACGGCCGCAAGGUUAAAACUCAAAUGAAUUGACGGGGGCCCGCACAAGCGGUGGAGCAUGUGGUUUAAUUCGAUGCAACGCGAAGAACCUUACCUGGUCUUGACAUCCACAGAAUCUUGCAGAGAUGCGAGAGUGCCUUCGGGAACUGUGAGACAGGUGCUGCAUGGCUGUCGUCAGCUCGUGUUGUGAAAUGUUGGGUUAAGUCCCGCAACGAGCGCAACCCUUAUCCUUUGUUGCCACGGUAGGCCGGGAACUCAAAGGAGACUGCCGUUGAUAAAGCGGAGGAAGGUGGGGACGACGUCAAGUCAUCAUGGCCCUUACGACCAGGGCUACACACGUGCUACAAUGGCGUAUACAAAGGGAGGCGACCUCGCGAGAGCAAGCGGACCUCAUAAAGUACGUCUAAGUCCGGAUUGAGUCCCCAACUCGACUCCAUGAAGUCGGAAUCGCUAGUAAUCGUGAAUCAGAAUGU
rnacentral:rRNA from 1 species